UUUCCGUAGGUGAACCUGCGGAAGGAUCAUUAACGAGUUAGGGUCUUCCAGGCCCGACCUCCCAACCCUAUGUUUAUUGAACCUCUGUUGCUUCGGCGGACCCGCCUCACGGCCGCCGGAGGACCGCUGCAAGGCGUCCUCUGGCCAGCGUCCGCCGAUGGCCAACCACUUAAACUCUGAAUGAAUCGUGUCAUAUGUCUAAGUCAAUGAUUAAAUUAAAGCAAAACUUUCAACAACGGAUCUCUUGGUUCUG
rnacentral:misc_RNA from 1 species